UUAUUGCUUGGCACUAAUCCUCUUCCGUAUAUAUGUGAUUCUGCUUGCUUUGCAUAUCAGAAAUUACGUAAACUGGUUCACUCACUGACCGAUUCCUCUUCACAACACGAUUGUGCAGCUGGCGGAAUACUAGUAGAAGCGUUUCAGUGCUAGUGCGAGCGUCUCCUCCAGGCGAACAAAGCCUAUUUUAUAUGCAAUGUCGGUUGGCUACAUGACAAUUAAACUAUGCAGGAAACACACUAACCUUUUUAGCAUAGACAAGACGGAAUGAACCGAAUUGUGAUCUCAUCAUGGCCCUUCUUUGUUCUACUCGUCGUUAAUACGGGAUUGCGCACCAACACUCUGAAGGUGAUUGGAGGAAAGAGGACUGUGAUCCUGGGUGAAGAUGCUGACCUUUUCUGCAGAUUGUCUGAGGCUGAGGAGUUUGAUCAGAUAACAUGGCAGAAAGAGACCAGGGAAAAUCCCAACAAACAUAAUUUCCUUGUCAUUAAACCCGAUGGGUUUACUAAAGACGUGAAUGGGUUGAUAGGUAGAGUUCUGUUCAUUGGGAACACAUCAGAUUAUCUUGGAUCGAUUCGAAUAAAAAAUGUCAUGCUGUUGGAUGAAGGCACCUACACAUGUAUCUUCAGUGUUUCCAGUGGACCAAUCCAAACAGAGAUGUCUCUGACUGUGAUCGUUCCUCCAGUGAUGUCAGUGACAGGUCACGUCUCUCCUGUUGGGGACAAUGAAGUCGUCUUGGUAACCUGCAUUGCUGCAGCUGCCAAGCCAAAGGCAGAAGUCAUUUGGAACACUGGCGCUUUAAACAAAUCAUUGAGGUGGGUGACAAACUCCACCCAGCACGCCAACGGCACCAGUACAGUACUCAGCCAGCUUAUUGGGCUCCCAACCAGAACAGCCAAUCAGAAACAGGUUCAGUGUGUGGUCAACCAGUCUGCCCUGGAAGAAGAAAGAACCCUCUCCUACACCAUAGACAUCCACUAUCUACCUCAGACAGUAAACAUUAAAGCGUCCUCCCAAGCCAAAUACUUCCUGUGUGUUGCAGAUGGCAACCCAAAGCCAAACUACAUCUGGAGCAGAGAUGUCCAGCCAUGGCCUGGGUCUUCAGUCAGAACAGAUGGAGACACACUGCAUCUCCUCAGUCUCAGCUCUGAUCUGAAUGGUCUCUAUGUCUGUGAGGCCUCAAAUCUGUAUGGAAGUACAAAUGGCUCCCUCUAUAUACAUAUAACCUCAGAGAUCUCUCCUGCCUGCUGGGUUCUACUUUUUGUCAUCUUAUGUCUGAUUGUUGCUGCUUCCAUUUUCUUAUGGUCCUGGUACAGAUAUGGGAAAUUGCCUUGUUCAGUGGCCAGUUCACCAGAACAGACAGGUCAAGAGGAUGUUGAGAUGCCCAUACGACGACGUGUGACAGAAGACGAAGAGGCGGAGACAUGAUAUUGGACUCAAACCUUCUAAUUUAUUUUUUUGCCGGACCACAGAAGUGGAGCCAGCCUAGAAGAGCGAAUGUCUCUUACAGACUGAGCCUCUCUCUGAUGUUGAAAUUCAUUUGACAAAACACAGGUGAACCUACAUCUACCCCUACAUCCUGACUGCUGGCUGAGUCAUUAUGCUUUUUAGUCCUGUUAGAAUUGUAGAACACAUUUUCAACUUCUCAUGUUAGGAACUUUCUAUGUUAUCACGCAUGAAGGUACUGUAAGCACAAUACAUCUAAAAUGAAAAUGCUAAUGUAUAACUACUGAUGGUACCAGGCUGGCCUUCCAUUACAUUGGUUGUCUACUGCUCUCAGAGUUGUUACAGAGUAAGAAAACAGAAGAUGCAUAACAGAGCAGCAGCCUUCUAUCAAUAGCUCUGGUUUGGAGCUCUGGUACUUUACCUCCUUCUUGUACUUAUGUUUAGAAAUGUGUUGACGUGUAGAAUGAGUUUAUAUACUUGGCACUGACCUUUUUCAAUUGUCUCUAUUUUUGUAUGCGUGAUAAUAAAGACUCGCUGGGCUCUU